rnacentral:rRNA from 1 species
AGCGAACGCUGGCGGCAGGCCUAACACAUGCAAGUCGAGCGCCCCGCAAGGGGAGCGGCAGACGGGAGAGUAACACGUGGGAACAUGCCCUUCAGUACGGAACAACCAAGGGAAACUUUGGCUAAUACCGUAUACGCCCGUAAGGGGAAAGAUUUAUCGCUGAAGGAUUGGCCCGCGUCUGAUUAGCUAGUUGGUGGGGUAAUGGCCCACCAAGGCGACGAUCAGUAGCUGGUCUGAGAGGAUGAUCAGCCUCACUGGGACUGAGACACGGCCCAGACUCCUACGGGAGGCAGCAGUGGGGAAUAUUGGACAAUGGGCGCAAGCCUGAUCCAGCCAUGCCGCGUGAGUGAUGAAGGCCUUAGGGUUGUAAAGCUCUUUCGUCAGGGAAGAUAAUGACGGUACCUGAAGAAGAAGCCCCGGCUAACUUCGUGCCAGCCGCCGCAGUAAAAC